rnacentral:lncRNA from 1 species
UUUGUUACUAGAGGAGCUCCCAUUGGAUGGAGGAGCCAACGACAACAGUCCAGUGUGAUCAGGGAGAUUGGGACACACAGUGCCGUGGGGGCCCAGAGGAGCAGGGAGGAUCUCUGUGGAGGAGGCGAGAAGUCUUCCCAGAGGAGGAGGCAUUUGAGAAAUUAACCAGUUUAUGUGCCCUGAAAAAUUCCCACUUCCACCCUCUGGGUUCGCAUGCUGGCUCAGUCACUUACUAGCUGUGUGACCUCUCUGCUGCUUAGUUUACUCAUCUGUAAAAUGGGAUAAACACAAAACCUGCCUGAUGGAGAUGUCGUAAGGAUCAAAGAGGAAAAAGAAUUUAAAACAUUUAGAAUGGUGCGUGACCCCCA